rnacentral:rRNA from 1 species
UGGCUCAGAUUGAACGCUGGCGGCAGGCCUAACACAUGCAAGUCGAGCGGAUGAAAGGAGCUUGCUCCUGGAUUCAGCGGCGGACGGGUGAGUAAUGCCUAGGAAUCUGCCUGGUAGUGGGGGACAACGUUUCGAAAGGAACGCUAAUACCGCAUACGUCCUACGGGAGAAAGCAGGGGACCUUCGGGCCUUGCGCUAUCAGAUGAGCCUAGGUCGGAUUAGCUAGUUGGUGAGGUAAUGGCUCACCAAGGCGACGAUCCGUAACUGGUCUGAGAGGAUGAUCAGUCACACUGGAACUGAGACACGGUCCAGACUCCUACGGGAGGCAGCAGUGGGGAAUAUUGGACAAUGGGCGAAAGCCUGAUCCAGCCAUGCCGCGUGUGUGAAGAAGGUCUUCGGAUUGUAAAGCACUUUAAGUUGGGAGGAAGGGUUGUAGAUUAAUACUCUGCAAUUUUGACGUUACCGACAGAAUAAGCACCGGCUAACUCUGUGCCAGCAGCCGCGGUAAUACAGAGGGUGCAAGCGUUAAUCGGAAUUACUGGGCGUAAAGCGCGCGUAGGUGGUUCGUUAAGUUGGAUGUGAAAUCCCCGGGCUCAACCUGGGAACUGCAUCCAAAACUGGCGAGCUAGAGUAUGGUAGAGGGUGGUGGAAUUUCCUGUGUAGCGGUGAAAUGCGUAGAUAUAGGAAGGAACACCAGUGGCGAAGGCGACCA